rnacentral:rRNA from 1 species
CAAUAGCGUAUAUUAAAGUUGUUGCGGUUAAAAAGCUCGUAGUUGGAGUUCUGCCAGGUGCCGCCUGUCCGCCCCAGUGGUGAGUACGUGGCGCGCAUUUGGCCCUUUCAAGGGGAGCGUAUCUGCACUUUAUUGUGUGGUGCGGGAUCCUUGACUUUUACUUUGAGGAAAUAGGAGUGUUCCAAGCAGGCUCUCGUCGUGCACAGCUCAGCAUGGAAUAAUAGCAUUGGACCUCGAUUCUAAGCUGUUGGUUGCCAGAAGCGAGGUAAUGAUGAAGAGGGAUAGUUGGGGGCAUUCGUAUUUAACUGUCAGAGGUGAAAUUCUUGGAGUUGUUAAAGACGGACUACUGCGAAAGCAUCUGCCAUGGAUGUUUUCAUUGA